rnacentral:rRNA from 1 species
GAUGAACGCUGGCGGCGUGCCUAAUACAUGCAAGUCGAGCGAACGGACGAGAAGCUUGCUUCUCUGAUGUUAGCGGCGGACGGGUGAGUAACACGUGGAUAACCUACCUAUAAGACUGGGAUAACUUCGGGAAACCGGAGCUAAUACCGGAUAAUAUUUUGAACCGCAUGGUUCAAAAGUGAAAGACGGUCUUGCUGUCACUUAUAGAUGGAUCCGCGCUGCAUUAGCUAGUUGGUAAGGUAACGGCUUACCAAGGCAACGAUGCAUAGCCGACCUGAGAGGGUGAUCGGCCACACUGGAGCGGAGACACGGACCAGAGUACUACGGGAGGCAGCAGUAGGGAAUCUUACGCAAUGGGCGAAAGCCUGACGGAGCAACGCCGCGUGAGUGAUGAAGGUCUUCGGAUCGUAAAACUCUGUUAUUAGGGAAGAGCAUAUGUGUAAGUAACUGUGCACAUCUUGACGGUACCUAAUCAGAAAGCCACGGCUAACUACGUG